CAGUAGCCGCGGGAAAACGUAGGGUGCAAGCGUUAAUCGGAAUUACUGGGCGUAAAGCGUGCGCAGGCGGUGUUGUAAGACUGAUGUGAAAUCCCCGGGCUCAACCUGGGAACUGCAUUGGUGACUGCAACGCUGGAGUGCGGCAGAGGGGGAUGGAAUUCCGCGUGUAGCAGUGAAAUGCGUAGAUAUGCGGAGGAACACCGAUGGCGAAGGCAAUCCCCUGGGCCUGCACUGACGCUCAUGCACGAAAGCGUGGGGAGCAAACAGGAUUAGAUACCCCCGUAGUCCCUGUCUCUUAUAC
rnacentral:rRNA from 1 species